UACAGAGGAGCCAAGCGUUGUCCGGAUUGACUGGGCGUAAAGCGCACGCAGGCGGCACCGCGCGUGGGGUGUGAAAUCUGGCCGCUUAACGGCCAGGCGCCAUCCCAUACGGCGGAGCUGGAGUGAUGCAGAGGUCGAUGGAAUUGCCGGUGUAGUGGUGAAAUGCGUAGAUAUCGGGAGGAACACCAGUGGCGAAGGCGACUACCUGGCCUGUUCUUGACGCUGAGGCGCGAAAGCUAGGGGAGCAAACGGG
rnacentral:rRNA from 1 species